rnacentral:rRNA from 1 species
AUACGGAGGAUCCGAGCGUUAUCCGGAUUUAUUGGGUUUAAAGGGAGCGUAGGCGGACGCUUAAGUCAGUUGUGAAAGUUUGCGGCUCAACCGUAAAAUUGCAGUUGAUACUGGCUGUCUUGAGGACAGUAGAGGUGGGCGGAAUUCGUGGUGUAGCGGUGAAAUGCUUAGAUAUCACGAAGAACUCCGAUUGCGAAGGCAGCUCACUGGACUGCAACUGACACUGAUGCUCGAAAGUGUGGGUAUCAAACAGGAUUAGAUACCCUGGUAGUCCACACAGUAAACGAUGAAUACUCGCUGUUUGCGAUAUACAGUAAGCGGCCAAGCGAAAGCAUUAAGUAUUCCACCUGGGGAGUACGCCGGCAACGGUGAAACUCAAAUGAAUUGACGGGG